rnacentral:rRNA from 1 species
UAAGGGCGCACGGUGGAUGCCUUGGCACUAGAAGCCGAUGAAGGACGUUACUAACGACGAUAUGCUUUGGGGAGCUGUAAGUAAGCUUUGAUCCAGAGAUUUCCGAAUGGGGAAACCCAGCAUGAGUUAUGUCAUGUUAUCGAUAUGUGAAUACAUAGCAUAUCAGAAGGCACACCCGGAGAACUGAAACAUCUUAGUACCCGGAGGAAGAGAAAGAAAAUUCGAUUCCC